UACGUAGGGUGCAAGCGUUUGUCCGGAAUUAUUGGGCGUAAAGAGCUCGUAGGCGGUUCGGUAAGUCGGGUGUGAAAACUCUGGGCUCAACCCAGAGCCGCCACCCGAUACUGCUGUGACUCGAGUGCGGUAGGGGAGCGGGGAAUUCCUGGUGUAGCGGUGAAAUGCGCAGAUAUCAGGAGGAACACCAGUGGCGAAGGCGCCGCUCUGGGCCGUGACUGACGCUGAGGAGCGAAAGCGUGGGUAGCAAACAGG
rnacentral:rRNA from 1 species